rnacentral:rRNA from 1 species
UGAGGAAUCUUGCGCAAUGGGGGCAACCCUGACGCAGCAACGCCGCGUGAGUGAGGAAGGCCUUCGGGUCGUAAAGCUCUGUCGGAUGGAAAGAAACGGAUGCGGGUUAAUAGCCUUCAUCCCUGACGGUACCAUCAGAGGAAGCACCGGCUAACUCCGUGCCAGCAGCCGCGGCAAUACGGGGGGUGCAAGCGUUGUUCGGAAUCAUUGGGCGUAAAGCGCGUGUAGGCGGCUUGGUAAGUCAGGUGUGAAAGCCCUGGGCUCGACCCAGGAAGUGCACUUGAAGCUGCCUUGCUUGAGUACGGGAGAGGUCAGCGGAAUUCCUGGUGUAGAGGUGAAGUUCGUAGAUAUCAGGAGGAACACAGGUGGCGAAGGCGGCUUU